AAUUGGGAUGCAUUGAUGGUUGUACGGUUGUACCCAUUGCUUAAAGUUUUGUUUACGGAAAAGUAAUCUAGACUUUGAUGCCUGUACUCAUACUUGUGAACCAGAGCACACCCACCUUUGGUCGGUCCAGUACGACUUCUACCAUGGUGGUUUUGAAGCCAGAAUUCAUUGUGCCAUCGAUUUCUUCUCAUACACUUUUCAAACCCUGGGUUUAUUCACGCCAUUACAGCUCCGAUUAACCUUCACUGUUCCGAUCAUCGUCUCCAACUAAUGGAUGCAUCUGCAUCUGCAACAUCUUCAUCAAACUCGCGUAGAUACCCUCUUUGUUACUUCUGUUGCAAUUGUAUCAAACGGUGUUUCCGUUGUUUGUGCUCUUACGCUUAGGGUUAAAGAUUAGCUACUGCGGAUUAGCUACUGAAUGAUUGGCUCAUUUAUGUAUAUUUAGGGUGAUUUGGGCUACCGAGCGCUUUUUGCGGUCGCGGGCGGUGAGGUGACCUUUGGCCAUUGGGUUAACCAGGUAGCCGGGAAUUUAUUCAUUAACAUGGAGUGCUUUUAUGUAUUCAUAAAUUGCUAGAAGUAUGUUCGUUCUUAAAGUUAAUAAUGUUGUUGAUGCUUGGAUUGCUUUUUAAUGCAAUCUACAUGUAUCUACACUUUGAUUUCCACAUUACACAAUCACUAUACCCUUUGUAAUUCUAAUUGUAUUUUUUCACAACUACAAUUACAUGCAGAUGUAUAUGAAGGGGUAUGUCUCGAUGGUUUA